rnacentral:rRNA from 1 species
UACGGAGGAUCCGAGCGUUAUCCGGAUUUAUUGGGUUUAAAGGGUGCGUAGGCGGGGUUUUAAGUCAGUGGUGAAAGUUUGCAGCUUAACUGUAAAAUUGCCAUUGAAACUGAAGCUCUUGAGUACAAAUGAGGUAGGCGGAAUGUGUUGUGUAGCGGUGAAAUGCUUAGAUAUAACACAGAACACCAAUUGCGAAGGCAGCUUACUGGCAUGUAACUGACGCUGAUGCACGAAAGCGUGGGGAUCAAACAGG